UACGUAGGGUGCAAGCGUUGUCCGGAAUUAUUGGGCGUAAAGAGCUCGUAGGCGGUUUGUCGCGUCUGCUGUGAAAACUCGGGGCUUACCCUGAGCCUGCAGUGGGUACGGGCAGACUAGAGUGUGGUAGGGGAGAUCGGAAUUCCUGGUGUAGCGGUGGAAUGCGCAGAUAUCAGGAAGAACACCCGUGGCGAAAGCGGCUCUCUGGGACGGUACUGACGCUGAGACGCGAAAGCGUGGGGAGCGAACAGG
rnacentral:rRNA from 1 species